rnacentral:rRNA from 1 species
GGGUGAGUAACACGUGGGCAACCUGCCCAAAAGAGGGGGAUAACACUUGGAAACAGGUGCUAAUACCGCAUAACCAUAGUUACCGCAUGGUAACUAUGUAAAAGGUGGCUAUACUACCGCUUUUGGAUGGGCCCGCGGCGCAUUAGCUAGUUGGUAGGGUAAAGGCUUACCAAGGCAAUGAUGCGCAGCCGAAUUGAGAGGUUGAUCGGCCACAUUGGGACUGAGACACGGCCCAAACUCCUACGGGAGGCAGCAGUAGGGAAUCUUCCACAAUGGGCGAAAGCCUGAUGGAGCAACGCCGCGUGGGUGAAGAAGGUCUUCGGAUCGUAAAACCCUGUUGUUAGAGAAGAAAGUGCGUGAGAGUAACUGUUCACGUUUCGACGGUAUCUAACCAGAAAGCCACGGCUAACUACGUGCCAGCAGCCGCGGUAAUACGUAGGUGGCAAGCGUUAUCCGGAUUUAUUGGGCGUAAAGGGAACGCAGGCGGUCCUUUAAGUCUGAUGUGAAAGCCUUCGGCUUAACCGGAGUAGUGCAUUGGAAACUGGGAGACUUGAGUGCAGAAGAGGAGAGUGGAACUCCAUGUGUAGCGGUGAAAUGCGUAGAUAUAUGGAAGAACACCAGUGGCGAAAGCGGCUCUCUGGUCUGUAACUGACGCUGAGGUUCGAAAGCGUGGGUAGCAAACAGGAUUAGAUACCCUGGUAGUCCACGCCGUAAACGAU